ACGGGUGAGUAAUAUAUCGGAACGUACCGAGUAAUGGGGGAUAACUAAUCGAAAGAUUAGCUAAUACCGCAUAUUCUCUGAGGAGGAAAGCAGGGGACCUUCGGGCCUUGCGUUAUUCGAGCGGCCGAUAUCUGAUUAGCUAGUUGGUGGGGUAAAGGCCCACCAAGGCGACGAUCGGUAGCCGGCCUGAGAGGGUGAACGGCCACAUUGGGACUGAGACACGGCCCAAACUCCUACGGGAGGCAGCAGUGGGGAAUAUUGGACAAUGGGGGAAACCCUGAUCCAGCGACGCCGCGUGAGUGAAGAAGUAUUUCGGUAUGUAAAGCUCUAUCAGCAGGGAAGAAAAUGACGGUACCUGACUAAGAAGCCCCGGCUAACUACGUGCCAGCAGCCGCGGUAAUACGUAGGGGGCAAGCGUUAUCCGGAUUUACUGGGUGUAAAGGGAGCGCAGACGGCAAUGCAAGUCUGAAGUGAAAGGCGUGGGCUCAACCCAUGAACUGCUUUGGAAACUGUAUAGCUUGAGUGUCGGAGGGGUAAGCGGAAUUCCUAGUGUAGCGGUGAAAUGCGUAGAUAUUAGGAGGAACACCGGAGGCGAAGGCGGCUUACUGGACGACAACUGACGUUGAGGCUCGAAGGCGUGGGGAGCAAACAGGAUUAGAU
rnacentral:rRNA from 1 species